rnacentral:rRNA from 1 species
UACAGAGGUCCCGAGCGUUGUUCGGAUUCACUGGGCGUAAAGGGUGCGUAGGUGGCGGGGUAAGUCUGAUGUGAAAUCUCCAAGCUUAACUUGGAAAUGGCAUUGGAAACUACUCUGCUCGAGGGUUGGAGGGGGGACUGGAAUACUUGGUGUAGCAGUGAAAUGCGUAGAUAUCAAGUGGAACACCAGUGGCGAAGGCGAAGUCCCUGGACAACUCCUGACACUGAGGCACGAAAGCUAGGGGAGCAAACAGG